UCUUUUUCUAGGAAUUCAUUUUUACUUUCGCAAUGAUGACGACGACUUCCUGAGAAUUACUAGCAUCGUUUGGGUUUAGGGCUUUUCGAUGGCAAAGGAGAACGAAGCGGCUUCGCAAGCCACCGUCAAUGGAGACGAUACACUCACGAAAUCUCUACGAUGUCGUCCAUAGGGAUCGGAAGAGGAUGUGUUUUUGCUUAGGGAAACACAUCGAGAAUGUACGAGAUCUCGAUGGUGCCGUCCGAGGGUUCCUCAUUCUCGGCGUGAUGAUAGACUUGUGUUAAUAAGGGAGCUUACUCAACCACUAUGGAGAAUUUCUUGGACUGGAUUCCAAAAGAGUUCCUAAUAAUCAUGCAGCCAGUCAGUUUGUAGAGGCUUUGGCUAAAGCGUGGACGGAAUACACUAACCCAAGGGCUGUAGUCACGUUCAUGGUUCAGGCUGAUGAACGCAACAUGUAUGACCAACACUGGCAUUCUGCUCCAUUGAAAGAAAUAUAU